rnacentral:rRNA from 1 species
UUGUGGAUCGUAAGGUUUGCUGGAGGUAUCAGAAGUGCGAAUGCUGACAUGAGUAACGACAAAGGGGGUGAAAAACCUCCUCGCCGGAAGACCAAGGGUUCCUGUCCAACGUUAAUCGGGGCAGGGUGAGUCGACCCCUAAGGUGAGGCCGAAAGGCGUAAUCGAUGGGAAACGGGUUAAUAUUCCCGUACUUCUGACUAUUGCGAUGGGGGGACGGAGAAGGCUAGGUGGGCCAGGCGACGGUUGUCCUGGUUCAAGUGCGUAGGCUUGAGAGUUAGGUAAAUCCGGCUCUCUUUAAGGCUGAGACACGACGUCGAGCUGCUACGGCAGUGAAGUCAUUGAUGCCAUGCUUCCAGGAAAAGCCUCUAAGCUUCAGAUAGUCAGGAAUCGUACCCCAAACCGACACAGGUGGUCGGGUAGAGAAUACCAAGGCGCUUGAGAGAACUCGGGUGAAGGAACUAGGCAAAAUGGUACCGUAACUUCGGGAGAAGGUACGCUCUUGAUGGUGAAGUCCCUCGCGGAUGGAGCUGACGAGAGUCGCAGAUACCAGGUGGCUGCAACUGUUUAUUAAAAACACAGCACUGUGCAAAAUCGCAAGAUGACGUAUACGGUGUGACGCCUGCCCGGUGCCGGAAGGUUAAUUGAUGGGGUUAGCGCAAGCGAAGCUCUUGAUCGAAGCCCCGGUAAACGGCGGCCGUAACUAUAACGGUCCUAAGGUAGCGAAAUUCCUUGUCGGGUAAGUUCCGACCUGCACGAAUGGCGUAAUGAUGGCCACGCUGUCUCCACCCGAGACUCAGUGAAAUUGAAAUCGCUGUGAAGAUGCAGUGUACCCGCGGCUAGACGGAAAGACCCCGUGAACCUUUACUACAGCUUGGCACUGAACAUUGAACCUACAUGUGUAGGAUAGGUGGGAGGCUAUGAAGACGUGACGCCAGUUGCGUUGGAGCCGUCCUUGAAAUACCACCCUUGUAUGUUUGAUGUUCUAACUUAGACCCAUUAUCUGGGUUGAGGACAGUGCCUGGUGGGUAGUUUGACUGGGGCGGUCUCCUCCCAAAGAGUAACGGAGGAGCACGAAGGUGGGCUAAUCACGGUUGGACAUCGUGAGGUUAGUGCAAUGGCAUAAGCCCGCUUAACUGCGAGAAUGACGGUUCGAGCAGGUGCGAAAGCAGGUCAUAGUGAUCCGGUGGUUCUGUAUGGAAGGGCCAUCGCUCAACGGAUAAAAGGUACUCCGGGGAUAACAGGCUGAUACCGCCCAAGAGUUCAUAUCGACGGCGGUGUUUGGCACCUCGAUGUCGGCUCAUCACAUCCUGGGGCUGAAGUCGGUCCCAAGGGUAUGGCUGUUCGCCAUUUAAAGUGGUACGCGAGCUGGGUUUAGAACGUCGUGAGACAGUUCGGUCCCUAUCUGCCGUGGGCGUUGGAAGAUUGAAGGGGGCUGCUCCUAGUACGAGAGGACCGGAGUGGACGAACCUCUGGUGUUCGGGUUGUGUCGCCAGACGCAUUGCCCGGUAGCUAAGUUCGGAAUUGAUAAGCGCUGAAAGCAUCUAAGCGCGAAGCGAGCCCUGAGAUGAGUCUUCCCUGAUACUUUAAGUAUCCUAAAGGGUUGU